AUGAACGCUAGCGGCAGGCUUAAUACAUGCAAGUUGAGGGGCAGCAUGAUAUACGCGAGUAUAUUGAUUGGCGACCGGCGGACGGGUGAGUAAUAGGUAGGAGACCUACCUCAUACAGGGGGAUAGCAUAGAGAAAUCUGUGGUAAUACCCCAUGAGGUUAUAUGAAUAGAGGCAUAUAAUCAAAGCAUAAGCGAUUAUGCGGUAUGAGAGGGGCCUACUGACCAUUAGCUAGUUGGUGAGGUAAGGGCUCACCAAGGCGAAGAUGGUUAGGGGUUUUGAGAGAGAGACCCCCCACAUUGGAACUGAGAGACGGUCCAGACUCCUACGGGAGGCAGCAGUAGGGAAUAUUGGGCAAUGGGCGAAAGCCUGACCCAGCCAUGCCGCGUGAAGGAAGACGGCCUUAUGGGUUGUAAACUUCUUUACUACGCGAAUAGAGGUUAGUACGAGAUACUAAUAGGAAGGUAGUGUAGUAAAAAGCACCGGCUAACUCCGUG
rnacentral:rRNA from 1 species